rnacentral:rRNA from 1 species
AACGAACGCUGGCGGCAGGCUUAACACAUGCAAGUGGAGCGACGAACCGGGCUUCGGCCCGGGGCAAAGCCGCGAACGGGUGAGUAUCACGUGGGUAACCUGCCCCGAUGACCGGGACAACCCGAGGAAACUCGGGCUAAUACCGGAUGUCUUCUCAAUCCAUCAGGGUUGAGAGAAAAGGAAGCUUCGGCCUCCGCAUUGGGAUGGGCCCGCGGCCCAUGAGCUUGUUGGUGAGGUAAAGGCUCACCAAGGCCACGAUGGGUAGCUGGUCUGAGAGGACGAUCAGCCACACUGGAACUGAGACACGGUCCAGACUCCUACGGGAGGCAGGAGUGAGGAAUUUUGCACAAGGGGGGAAACCCUGAUGCAGCAACGCCGCGUGUGGGAUGAAGGGGCUAUGCCUUGUAAACCACUGUCGAAUGGGAAAAAAAGUUCCCCUUGGGGACUGGGAUUGUACCAUUGGAGGAAGGAUCGGCUAACUACGUGCCAGCCGCCGCGGUAAUAC